ACAAAGAGUGGGUUUGAAUGAUGAAAAGAAAAUUAAAUUUAUGUCAUUUUAACAAGAAAUUUUAUUUAAGAGAGAACCCAUGAAUUGAAAUUCUCUACAAGAAUGAGAGACUUUCAAUUUCUUUGUAAUUCCUCUCUACGGUCAGUCUCGUUCAUCACUCUCGACCUACACCUCACUUGCUCUUACUCAUUCCUCUCCACCCACACACUCUCCCUUGCGACUUCGAGACCCUCAUUCUCACUCUCAGUCAUGACAACCUUCGUUUAGAUCACACACUCUCGGUGGCUAUUACCUCGUUCAGAUCGCACACUCUCAUGGUGGCUACGACCUUCGUUUUCUGUUGAUUCAAAUCGCACACUCUCUUCAUACAAGUCACAUGAAGAGGUCAAACGAUUUCGAUUCAAAGUCAUUCCUAAUUGGGAUGAUAUUAUAGACCUAUGUGCAAAGGAUAGAGCUACUGGACUCGGAAAAGAAAAUGCAUUAGAUGUAGAUGAUAUCAUGAGCAAAGAAGCAAAUGAAGAGGAAGCAAUUCACAAUGUGAAUAUUGAUUUAGAGGGAUCAAGUUCUGCCUCAAGGAAAAACAUUCGCCCAAGUAAGAGUGGAGAGAAAGAAGGGAUCAUUUCCUCAAUGAAAGAAGUAGCCGAGUCAUUAAAGCGGUGAAUGAGCUAGAUAAUAUACCUAAUUUUAAUGGUGCACUUUGACAUAAAACAAUCGUUUGGUUGAGAAAAAAUAUCAUUAUGUUUGCAACUAUAAAAGCUCUUUCAUUGGAUGAGAAGGAAUUACAUCUCGUCUUUUAUGCCUUGAUGCCAAUGCCAAGUUAGAGGAGCACAUACAAUUGGUUAUGCCCGAUGCUUGACCUUCAAAAGGAGACUUUUCGACUCUCAAGGCUCUGGCAGACCUGAUCCCAUGAUUGAUUUUUCACUUUUCUUAAGAUUGCAAAAUAGGCGUCCAAAUAAUGACGCUUCAAACAGCAAUCUAGCUCCUCUGGAUGCUGCAACUAUUUUGACGUUCGACAGUGUGUAUUAUAGAAAUCUCUUGAGCGAAACAGGGCUUCUAGAAUCUGACCAAGCACUAAUUCGGGAUUCAAGGACUGCUUCUAUGGCUUAUUUUUACAGCACCGACCAAUCUUCGUUAUAUAAUGAUUUUGCUGCAUCCAUGGUGAAGCUUAGUAAUGUAGGAGUACUUAGAGGAAUACAAGGGCAAAUUAGAAGGACAUGUGGCUCUUUAAACUAUUAUGUGCUUGAUAUUUUCAACUUCUUAGCAAAACCUCAACAAUAUAAUUGAGGAAGCCAAUGUAAGUUACUUGGAGCAUAAAUGCUAUCCUGCUGUAUAUUAUGUCAAGUCCAUCAUCUUUGUAGGUGUUGGCGGUAUCCCAGAAGAAUGCAGAUUAGCCAUGUUUUACUUUUAUGUCAAGAUCAUUCUGUCGAA